CACCCGUGGUGCGGAGGCCCGUGCUGCAGUCCAUGCCUCGCACCGUCACGAUGAGCAGCGCAUGCGAGCGGGAGCUGUGCUCGUUGAGCUCCUCCACCGCAUUCAGCUGACGCAGAGAUCUCACUCCACAAUGCAAUGAGCCCUGUGGGCAGGGCCCCCAGCUGCCCACUCUCACCCACGGCCACCUGGUGCAGCCCACAGGAAGACCCCACUUCCUAUCCCCCAUUCUCCAGCACCACUCCAGAGGACCCCAAAACUGCCCCUGAGGCCUGCUCCCCACAUGCUGGGGCUCCCACCUGAGGACCUCGUUCCAGCACCACCCCGGAGGACCCCAAAGCUGCCCCUGAGGCCUGCUCUGCACACCCUGAGGC